GGUCAGGUGUGGUGUAGUGGUUUGAAUGUUGGGCUACAACUCCAGGGACCAGGUUUCGAAUCCCAGCUUGGCCA